GAUGAACGCUGGCGGCGUGCCUAAUACAUGCAAGUCGAGCGAACGGACGAGAAGCUUGCUUCUCUGAUGUUAGCGGCGGACGGGUGAGUAACACGUGGAUAACCUACCUAUAAGACUGGGAUAACUUCAGGAAACCGGAGCUAAUACCGGAUAAUAUUUUGAACCGCAUGGUUCAAAAGUGAAAGACGGUCUUGCUGUCACUUAUAGAUGGAUCCGCGCUGCAUUAGCUAGUUGGUAAGGUAACGGCUUACCAAGGCAACGAUGCAUAGCCGACCUGAGAGGGUGAUCGGCCACCCUGGAACUGAGACACGGUCCAGACUCCUACGGGAGGCAGCAGUAGGGAAUCUUCCGCAAUGGACGAAAGCCUGACGGAGCACCGCCGCGUGAGUGAUGAAGGUCUUCGGAUCGUAAAGCUCUGUUAUUAGGGAAGAACAUAUGUGUAAGUAACUGUGCACAUCUUGACGGUACCUAAUCAGAAAGCCACGGCUAACUACGUG
rnacentral:rRNA from 1 species